rnacentral:rRNA from 1 species
GACGAAGGGGGCUAGCGUUGUUCGGAAUUACUGGGCGUAAAGCGAGUGUAGGUGGUUUUCCAAGUUGGAUGUGAAAGCCUUGAGCUCAACUCAAGAAAUGCAUUCAGGACUGGAGGACUAGAGGACCGGAGAGGAUAGUGGAAUUCCCAGUGUAGUGGUGAAAUACGUAGAGAUUGGGAAGAACACCAGUGGCGAAGGCGGCUAUCUGGACGGUUUCUGACACUAAGACUCGAAAGCGUGGGGAGCAAACAGG